AACGAACGCUGGCGGCAUGCCUAACACAUGCAAGUCGAACGAGACCUUCGGGUCUAGUGGCGCACGGGUGCGUAACACGUGGGAAUUUGCCUCGGGGUAUGGAAUAACUCAGGGAAACUUGAGCUAAUACCAUAUAAUGUCUUCGGACCAAAGAUUUAUCGCCCUGAGAUAAGCCCGCGUAGGAUUAGCUAGUUGGUGGGGUAAAGGCUCACCAAGGCGACGAUCCUUAGCUGGUCUGAGAGGAUGAUCAGCCACACUGGGACUGAGACACGGCCCAGACUCCUACGGGAGGCAGCAGUGGGGAAUAUUGGACAAUGGGCGAAAGCCUGAUCCAGCAAUGCCGCGUGAGUGAUGAAGGCCUUCGGUUGUAAGACUCUUUACUCGGGACGAUAAUAGACGGUACCGAGAGAAUAAG
rnacentral:rRNA from 1 species